rnacentral:rRNA from 1 species
UGAGUUUGAUCAUGGCUCAGGAUGAACGCUAGCGACAGGCCUAACACAUGCAAGUCGAGGGGCAGCAUUGAUGUAGCAAUACAUUAGAUGGCGACCGGCGCACGGGUGAGUAACACGUAUGCAAUCUACCUACAACAGGGGGAUAGCCCGGAGAAAUUCGGAUUAAUACCCCAUAACACAGGGAUGCCGCAUGGCAAUAUUUGUUAAAGGAGCAAUCCGGUUGUAGAUGAGCAUGCGUUCCAUUAGGUAGUUGGUGAGGUAACGGCCCACCAAGCCCGCGAUGGAUAGGGGAACUGAGAGGUUUAUCCCCCACACCGGUACUGAGACACGGACCAGACUCCUACGGGAGGCAGCAGUGAGGAAUAUUGGUCAAUGGGCGAAAGCCUGAACCAGCCAAGUCGCGUGAAGGACGACGGCCCUACGGGUUGUAAACUUCUUUUGUACGAGAGUAAAAAGCAGGACGCGUCCUGUAUUGCAAGUACCGUACGAAUAAGCAUCGGCUAACUCCGUGCCAGCAGCCGCGGUAAUACGGAGGAUGCAAGCGUUAUCCGGAUUUAUUGGGUUUAAAGGGUGCGUAGGCGGGAUCUUAAGUCAGCGGUGAAAGUUUGAGGCUCAACCUUAAAAUUGCCGUUGAAACUGGGAUCCUUGAGUAUAUUUGAAGUAGGCGGAAUUCGUGGUGUAGCGGUGAAAUGCAUAGAUAUCACGAAGAACUCCAAUUGCGAAGGCAGCUUACUAAACUAUAACUGACGCUGAAGCACGAAGGCGUGGGUAUCAAACAGGAUUAGAUACCCUGGUAGUCCACGCCGUAAAUGAUGAUUACUUGCUGUCUGUGAUAUUACAAUAAGCGGUUAAGCGAAAGCGAUAAGUAAUCCACCUGGGGAGUACGCCGGCAACGGUGAAACUCAAAGGAAUUGACGG